ACUCCCAGGCCCCCUUCCGAAGGCUGCUGUGGCAACAAAGGUCUCAGUUCCCAUCGGGUGAUCUCCACAGAACACUCCCCUCUAGGCUCCAGUAAGCUCUCCUCAGGCUGAAGGCGCCCUGCUCCCUGCAGCAGCGCUGAGUCCUGCGGCGCCGCCCUCCACGCCUGCGCGCAGCCACUGGGGGAUCACGAUGGAGGAGUUCAUUCAUGCUCGUCUUAAAGGGGGUUGCGGUAGAGCUGCUGGGAUCAUUAACGUCUCGGCCUGGGGGAGAGUCCCAGGGCUUUGUUCUCCAGCUGCCACCUCAGCAGAAAGGGAGCUGCGUGUUCAUCCUUGGAUCUCGUGCUCAAGCAACUAUCCUCCAACGACUCUCAGACUUAACCGAACAAGUUUUGAGGGUUUACUGGGUGCCAGACUCUAGUUUAAGAGCUUUGCGUAUCUUUUACAUUUCACUGAGUUCUCUCGGCACUGAGAGGUUGGGAAUGUUACUCCCGUUUUGCAGAUGGGAGGAGGAAAGGUUGAGGAAUUUGCCCCGGAUUACUCGACGGGAAGGUGGUGAAGAACUCGCCCUCCGGGACGCCUGCGCCUGGCGCUGAACCUCGAAGCCGUCUGGCUGGGACUCCGCCUCUCUCGGCAGGUCCCGGGAUGCGCUCCGCGCGUCUCCACGCGGCUCGUCGCGCUCCGUCCUCCAACAAGGGACUGAAGAGCGCUCCCCCUGGGAGGGAAGAAGACUGGGGAGGAACGACGAGCGGCCGCUACCAGAGCGGCGUGGUUCCAAGACCCGCUGGGAAGAGCCUGGCAGGUUCCAAGGGACGGGCUAGCACCGCUGACGGCUCUCUGGCGCGUUGGCACUUGCAAAUCGCCUCUCGCAAGAGAGCCUGUUUAAUUCUCACCGCGGCCCUGCAAAGAGGGUUAUUUUUGGUCCCAUUUUCCAGAGGAGGAAAGUGAGGCUUUCGCUCCCCGGCGUUCACAGCGUCCGGCAGGUGGUGCAGCUGUAGGUGUCAGCUUUGUCCCAAAGAUAAAAUCUGCACGGGUCUCGUCAUUGUUAUGCAAAGCCGGCGGAGAGGCUCGGACCCUCCCUUCCCCGAGCCCAUCUGUCUGCGCGCGCCGCCCCCGGGCUCAGAAGCCAACCGGGAGCGGGGCCGAGGGGGUGGA
rnacentral:lncRNA from 1 species